rnacentral:rRNA from 1 species
AGGAUGAACGCUGGCGGCAGGCCUAACACAUGCAAGUCGAGCGCCCGUAGCAAUACGGGAGCGGCAGACGGGAUAGUAACACGUGGGAACGCGCCCUUCGGUUCGGAAUAACUCAGGGAAACUUGAGCUAAUACCGAAUACGCCCUUACGGGGAAAGAUUUAUUGCCGAAGGAACGGCCCGCGUCCGAUUAGCUAGUUGGUGAGGUAAUGGCUCACCAAGGCUACGAUCGGUAGCUGGUCUGAGAGGAUGACCAGCAUCACUGGGACUGAGACACGGCCCAGACUCCUACGGGAGGCAGCAGUGGGGAAUAUUGGACAAUGGGCGCAAGCCUGAUCCAGCCAUGCCGCGUGGAUGAUGAAGGCCUUAGGGUUGUAAAGUCCUUUUAACGGGGAAGAUAAUGACGGUACCCGUAGAAUAAGCCCCGGCUAACUUCGUGCCAGCAGCCGC